rnacentral:rRNA from 1 species
UACGGAGGGGGCUAGCGUUGUUCGGAAUUACUGGGCGUAAAGCGCACGUAGGCGGACCGGAAAGUCAGAGGUGAAAUCCCAGAGCUCAACUUUGGAACUGCCUUUGAAACUCCUGGUCUUGAGAUCGAGAGAGGUGAGUGGAAUUCCGAGUGUAGAGAUGAAAUUCAUAGAUAUUCGAAGAAACACCAGUGGCGAAGACGGCUCACUGGCUCGAUACUGACGCUGAGGUGCGAAAGCGUGGGAAGCAAACAGG